rnacentral:rRNA from 1 species
UCAAUAAGCGGAGGAAAAGAAACCAACCGGGAUUGCCUCAGUAACGGCGAGUGAAGCGGCAAGAGCUCAAAUUUGAAAGCUGGCCCCUUCGGGGUCCGCGUUGUAAUUUGCAGAGGAUGCUUCGGGUGCGGCCCCUGUCUAAGUGCCCUGGAACGGGCCGUCAGAGAGGGUGAGAAUCCCGUCUUGGGCAGGGUGCCCGUGCCCGUGUGAAGCUCCUUCGACGAGUCGAGUUGUUUGGGAAUGCAGCUCUAAAUGGGUGGUAAAUUUCAUCUAAAGCUAAAUACCGGCCGGAGACCGAUAGCGCACAAGUAGAGUGAUCGAAAGAUGAAAAGCACUUUGAAAAGAGAGUUAAACAGCACGUGAAAUUGUUGAAAGGGAAGCGCUUGCGACCAGACUCGGCCCCGGGGUUCAGCCAGCAUUCGUGCUGGUGUACUUCCCCGGGGGCGGGCCAGCGUCGGUUUGGGCGGCCGGUCAAAGGCCCCAGGAAUGUAUCGCCCUCCGGGGUUGUCUUAUAGCCUGGGGUGCAAUGCGGCCAGCCCGGACCGAGGAACGCGCUUCGGCACGGACGCUGGCGUAAUGGUCGCAAACGACCCGUC